rnacentral:rRNA from 1 species
UAGGGAAUAUUAGAAAUGGACGAAAGUCUGAUCUAGCAACACCGCGUGUGCGAAGAAGGCCUUUGGGUCGUAAAGCACUUUUUGGAAGGAAUAGGAAGGAAUGUACUUCCAGAAUAAGUCUCGGCUAACUACGUGCCAGCAGCCGCGGUAACACGUAGGAGGCAAACGUUAUCCGGAUUUACUGGGCGUAAAGCGCGUGUAGGUGGUACUGUAAGUAGGGCGUGAAAGCUCCUGGCUCAACUGGGAGAGGCCGUUCUAAACUACAGAACUAGAGGAUGGUAGAGGGAGGUGGAGUUCCAGGUGUGGCGGUGGAAUGCGCGGAUAUCUGGAGGAGCACCGGUGGCGAAGGCGGCCUCCUGGACCAUUCCUGACACUCAGACGCGAAAGCUAGGGU